rnacentral:rRNA from 1 species
GAUGAACGCUGGCGGCGUGCUUAAUACAUGCAAGUCGAACGGACAGGCCCUGCUCUUGUGGGGUGCUCGAGUGGCGCACGGGUGUGUAACACGCGUGUAAACUGCCCUUGACUUUGGGAUAACUUCUGGAGACUGGGGCUAAUACCGCAUAGGAGCUCCUGCUGCACGGUGGGGGAUGGUAAGUUUCGGCGGUUGGGGCUGGACUCGCGGCUUAUCAGCUUGUUGGUGGGGUAGUGGAUUACCAAGGCUGCGACGGGUAGCCGGCCUGGGAGGGUUGCCGGCGACAAUGGGACUGAGAGACGGCGCAGAAGCCAACGGGAGGCAGCAGGGGAGAAUAUGACGCAGUGAGCGGGAGCCAGAGGCAGCAGCCCUGGGUGCGGGAAGACGGGUUACGAGGGAAAAACCACUUUGGCCUUAAACAUAGCGGGAUUGACGGUAACGAGUAAGAAAGCACCGGCUAACUACGUG